rnacentral:rRNA from 1 species
GACGUAGGGCGCGAGCGUUGUCCGGAUUUAUUGGGCGUAAAGAGCUCGUAGGCGGCUUGUCGCGUCGUCUGUGAAAUCCCGCGGCUCAACCGCGGGUCUGCAGUCGAUACGGGCAGGCUAGAGUUCGGUAGGGGAGACUGGAAUUCCUGGUGUAGCGGUGAAAUGCGCAGAUAUCAGGAGGAACACCGGUGGCGAAGGCGGGUCUCUGGGCCGAUACUGACGCUGAGGCGCGAAAGCGUGGGGAGCAAACAGG